AGUGAACGCUGGCGGUAGGCCUAACACAUGCAAGUCGAACGGCAGCACAGUAAGAGCUUGCUCUUACGGGUGGCGAGUGGCGGACGGGUGAGGAAUACAUCGGAAUCUACUUUUUCGUGGGGGAUAACGUAGGGAAACUUACGCUAAUACCGCAUACGACCUACGGGUGAAAGCAGGGGAUCUUCGGACCUUGCGCGAUUGAAUGAGCCGAUGUCGGAUUAGCUAGUUGGCGGGGUAAAGGCCCACCAAGGCGACGAUCCGUAGCUGGUCUGAGGGAUGAUCAGCCACACUGGAACUGAGACACGGUCCAGACUCCUACGGGAGGCAGCAGUGGGGAAUAUUGGACAAUGGGCGCAAGCCUGAUCCAGCCAUACCGCGUGGGUGAAGAAGGCCUUCGGGUUGUAAAGCCCUUUUGUUGGGAAAGAAAAGCAGCAGGUUAAUACCCCGCUGUUCUGACGGUACCCAUAGAAUAAGCACCGGCUAACUUCGUG
rnacentral:rRNA from 1 species